CCCAUCCAAGGAAGAGCUUCAGGAAGUUUAACCUACUUGAGCUCCACUGAGUAGAGGCUGGCAAGGGUCUCUAGUGUGACAGUGAUAUGUGGAUCCAGAGGUCCUCAGUGGAAUCUAGCACAUGCAGCCAGGAGCACCUGAACUCUUCCUCCAAGUGUGUGCAGCUGUGCCAGUCUUGUUCACUAUGGGAUGGAAGAGGUCCCUGACCUGUAAGCCUAGAGGAAUGGCUCUGCAUGUGGUCAACACACACUACCCUGGAAGACCAGAGAGUUCAAGGACGGCCAACUUUCACUUAAGCAAACUUUUUCACAGAGUGUGUGGGUCCCAUCAGCAGAGAGUAGCCUCC
ensembl:lncRNA